rnacentral:rRNA from 1 species
GCCGGUCCGAAUAAACCGGAGGAAGGUGGGGAUGACGUCAAGUCAGCAUGGCCUUUAUAUCCUGGGCUACACACACGCUACAAUGGGAAGGGACAAUAGGUUGCGAAGCCGCGAGGCGGAGCCAAUCCAGCAAAACUUCCCUCAGUUCAGAUUGCAGGCUGCAACUCGCCUGCAUGAAGUUGGAGUUGCUAGUAAACGCAGGUCAGCCAUACUGCGUUGAAUACGUUCCCGGGGCUU